AUCUAUAUAGUAUAUAAGUAUAUAUGACUUCCAAUCAUAAGGUCUAAAAAUUUAGUAUAGAUA
rnacentral:tRNA from 1 species